GGGUUAGGAUUUGAUAGAUAGGAUUUCAUUAUGGAAAAAAUUUUGAAAUCUAUAUUUCUAUUAUGCUCUUCAAACCCUACAGUGGUAUCAGAGCCGAUCUUGUUUGAUUCUAUCGUAUACUUUAUACUGAUAAUGUCUUAUUGAAGUAUGUUAUAAUUUAUGCUAUAUCUAUAGUUAUGUGAUGAUUAAUUUUAGUAGCUGCUAUUUAAUCAUAAA
rnacentral:lncRNA from 1 species